AACGAACGCUGGCGGCAUGCCUAACACAUGCAAGUCGAACGAGACCUUCGGGUCUAGUGGCGCACGGGUGCGUCACGCGUGGGACCCUGCCCUUAGGUUCGGAAUACCUCCCCGACAGGGGUGCUAAUACCGGAUAAUGUCUUCUGACCAAACAUUUAUCGCCUUUGGAUGGGCCCGCGUUGGAUUAGCUAGUUGGUAUGGUAAAAGCCUACCACGGCGACGCUACAUAGCUGGUCUGAGAGGAUGAUCAGCCACACUGGGACUGAGACACGGCCCAGACUCUUACGGGAGGCAGCAGUGGGGAAUAUUGGACAAUGGGCGAAAGCCUGAACCAGCAAUGCUGCGUGAGUGAUGAAGGCCUUAGGGUAGUAAAGCUCUUUUACCCGGGAUGAUAAUGACAGUACCGGGAGAAUAAGCUCCGGCUAACUCCGUG
rnacentral:rRNA from 1 species